UUCUGGUGUCUCAGAUGGUGAAGAAUCUGCCUGCAAGGCAGGAGACCCAGGUUUGAUUCCUGGGUCAGGAA
rnacentral:tRNA from 1 species